UUGGAGGGCAAGUCUGGUGCCAGCAGCCGCGGUAAUUCCAGCUCCAAUAGCGUAUAUUAAAGUUGUUGCAGUUAAAAAGCUCGUAGUUGAAUUUCGGAAUCAAUUUGUUGGUCGUGCCUCGGUACGUACUGGUAUUAUUGGUUUCUACCUUCUGAAGAACCUUGAUGUCAUUAAUUUGGUGUCUUGGGGAAUCAGGACUGUUACUUUGAAAAAAUUAGAGUGUUUAAAGCAAGCAUACGCUUGAAUACAUUAGCAUGGAAUAAUGAAAUAGGACGUUUGAUUCUAUUUUGUUGGUUUCUAGGAUCGACGUAAUGAUUAAUAGGGAUAGUUGGGGGCAUUAGUAUUCAAUUGUCAGAGGUGAAAUUCUUGGAUUUAUUGAAGACUAACUACUGCGAAAGCAUUUGCCAAGGAUGUUUUCAUUAAUCAAGAACGAAAGUUAGGGGAUCGAAGACGAUCAGAUACCGUCGUAGUCUUAACCAUAAACUACGCCGACUAGGGAUCGGAUGAUGUUAAUUUUUUAAUGACUCAUUCGGCGCCUUACGGGAAAC
rnacentral:rRNA from 1 species